UACUGCCCACAGGAAACCCAUCUCAG
rnacentral:misc_RNA from 1 species